rnacentral:rRNA from 1 species
AUUGAACGCUGGCGGCAGGCUUAACACAUGCAAGUCGAGCGGAGAUGAGGUGCUUGCACCUUAUCUUAGCGGCGGACGGGUGAGUAAUGCUUAGGAAUCUGCCUAUUAGUGGGGGACAACAUUCCGAAAGGAAUGCUAAUACCGCAUACGUCCUACGGGAGAAAGCAGGGGAUCUUCGGACUUUGCGCUAAUAGAUGGGCCUAAGUCGGAUUAGCUAGUUGGUGGGGUAAAGGCCUACCAAGGCGACGAUCUGUAGCGGGUCUGAAAGGAUGAUCCGCCACACUGGGACUGAGACACGGCCCAGACUCCUACGGGAGGCAGCAGUGGGGAAUAUUGGACAAUGGGGGGAACCCUGAUCCAGCCAUGCCGCGUGUGUGAAGAAGGCCUUAUGGUUGUAAAGCACUUUAAGCGAGGAGGAGGCUACUGAGACUAAUACUCUUGGAUAGUGGACGUUACUCGCAGAAUAAGCACCGGCUAACUCUGUGCCAGCCGCCGCCGUAACAC